rnacentral:rRNA from 1 species
UAAAACGUAGGUACCGAGCGUUAUCCGGAUUUACUGGGCGUAAAGCGCGUUCAGGCGGUUUGGCAAGUCGGGCAUGAAAUCUCUCGGCUCAACCGGGAGAGGUUGUCCGAUACUGCUGGACUUGAGGGCAGUAGAGGGUGGUGGAAUUCCGGGUGUAGUGGUGAAAUGCGUAGAUAUCCGGAGGAACACCAGUGGCGAAAGCGGCCACCUGGACUGUACCUG